AACGAGGGAAAAAAAAAAAAAAAAGUGGAGGGAACAACACGGGUGCACUCUCUCCUAUGGUUUUAUUUAAACAAAUCAAACUUUUUUAUAUUUUUU
rnacentral:ribozyme from 1 species